AUUGAACGCUGGCGGCAGGCCUAACACAUGCAAGUCGAGCGGCAGCACGGGGAAGUUUACUUCCUGGGUGGCGAGCGGCGGACGGGUGAGUAAUGCCUGGGAAUUUGCCCAUCGGUGGGGGAUACCAGUUGGAAACGACUGCUAAUACCGCAUACGCCCUACGGGGGAAAGCAGGGGACCUUCGGGCCUUGCGCCGAUGGAUAAGCCCAGGUGGGAUUAGCUAGUUGGUGAGGUAAUGGCUCACCAAGGCGACGAUCCCUAGCUGUUCUGAGAGGAUGAUCAGCCACACUGGGACUGAGACACGGCCCAGACUCCUACGGGAGGCAGCAGUGGGGAAUAUUGCACAAUGGGGGAAACCCUGAUGCAGCCAUGCCGCGUGUGUGAAGAAGGCCUUCGGGUUGUAAAGCACUUUCAGUCAGGAGGAAAGGUUGACGAUUAAUACUCGUCAGCUGUGACGUUACUGACAGAAGAAGGACCGGCUAACUCCGUG
rnacentral:rRNA from 1 species